AUACGGAGGAUCCGAGCGUUAUCCGGAUUUAUUGGGUUUAAAGGGAGCGUAGGCGGAUUAUUAAGUCAGUUGUGAAAGUUUGCGGCUCAACCGUAAAAUUGCAGUUGAUACUGGUAGUCUUGAGUGCAGCAGAGGUAGGCGGAAUUCGUGGUGUAGCGGUGAAAUGCUUAGAUAUCACGAAGAACUCCGAUUGCGAAGGCAGCUUACUGGACUGUAACUGACGCUGAUGCUCGAAAGUGUGGGUAUCAAACAGGAUUAGAUACCCUGGUAGUCCACACAGUAAACGAUGAAUACUCGCUGUUUGCGAUAUACAGCAAGCGGCCAAGCGAAAGCAUUAAGUAUUCCACCUGGGGAGUACGCCGGCAACGGUGAAACUUAAAGGAAUUGACGGGG
rnacentral:rRNA from 1 species